rnacentral:rRNA from 1 species
UACGAAGGGUGCAAGCGGCAGUCGGAAUUACUGGGCGUAACGGGUGCGUAGGCGGCCUUUUAAGUCGGAUGUGAAAUCCCCGGGCUCAACCUGGGAAUGGCAUCCGAUACUGGGGGGCUAGAGUUUGGGAGAGGGUGGUGGAAUUCCGGGUGUAGCGGUGAAAUGCGUAGAGAUCGGGAGGAACAUCAGUGGCGAAGGCGGCCACCUGGCCUA